GGCUCUCGAUCCCCAGUACGGCGAGUGAAGAGGGACUAGCCCAAAUUUGUAAUCUGGCUCUUUCAGAGUCCGAGUUGUAAUCUCGAGAACAGUUUUCCGUGUUGGACCUUGUAUAAGUCUGUUGGAAUAUAGCUUCGUAGAGGGUGAGAAUCCCGUACAUAACAAGGACUACCAAUGCUUUGUGAUACUGUCUCUAAGAGUCGAGUUGUUUGGGAAUGCAGCUCAAAUCGGGUGGUAAAUUCCAUCUAAGGCUAAAUAUUGGCGAGAGACCGAUAGCGAACAAGUACCGUGAGGGAAAGAUGAAAAGCACUUUGGAAAGAGAGUUAACAGUACGUGAAAUUGUUAAAAGGGAAACGAUUGAAGUCAGUCUUGUAGCUUUUCGUUCAACCGCAAGGUGUAUUCGGAUUGCAACAGGCCAGCAUCAAUUUUUGGUGUCGGAUAAGGGUAUUGGAAAUGUAGCAAUCUCGGUUGUGUUAUAGUCCUUUACUUGAUACGAUGCUAGGGAUUGAGGAAUGCAGUGAGCCUUUUGGCGGGUCUUUGGACCUUCUCACUUUGGAUGCUGGCGUAAUGGCUUUAAACGACCCGUCUUGAAACCACGGACC
rnacentral:rRNA from 1 species